rnacentral:rRNA from 1 species
UACGUAGGGUGCAAGCGUUGUCCGGAAUUAUUGGGCGUAAAGAGCUCGUAGGCGGUUUGUUGCGUCGGCUGUGAAAUCCCGAGGCUCAACCUCGGGUCUGCAGUCGAUACGAGCAAACUAGAGUGUUGCAGGGGAGACUGGAAUUCCUGGUGUAGCGGUGAAAUGCGCAGAUAUCAGGAGGAACACCGGUGGCCGAAGGCGGGUCUCUGGGGCCGA